GUCUAUGUCAUACUUCCAAGAAAAGCUUGCACUGUCAUAAACAAAGAAUGCCUGUACCAUAACCGACACAGGUGGGUAGGUAGAGUAUACUAAGGGGCGCGAGAUAACUCUCUCUAAGGAACUCGGCAAAAUGACUCCGUAACUUCGGGAGAAGGAGUGCCUUAUUUAUAAGGUUGCAAUAACAAGAUCCAAGCAACUGUUUAUCAAAAACACAGGUCUCCGCUAAGUCGUAAGACGAUGUAUGGGGGCUGACGCCUGCCCAGUGCCAGAAGGUUAAAGAAGUUGGUUAGUGUAUGCGAAGCUGAUGACUGAAGCCCUGGUGAACGGCGGCCGUAACUAUAACGGUCCUAAGGUAGCGAAAUUCCUUGUCGGGUAAGUUCCGACCCGCACGAAAGGCGUAAUGAUUUGGAUACUGUCUCGGAGAGAGGCUCGGUGAAAUAGACUUGUCUGUGAAGAUGCGGACUACCUGCACCAGGACAGAAAGACCCUAUGAAGCUUUACUGUAACUUGAAAUUGGAAUUGGACUUUGCUUGCGCAGUAUAGGUGGGAAGCGUUGAAGAUAUUCUUGCGGGAGUAUUGGAGCUAUCAGUGAGAUACCACUCUUGUAAUGUUAGAUUUCUAACUUUGAACCAUAAUCUGGUCAAAGAACAGUUUCAGGUGGGCAGUUUGACUGGGGCGGUCGCCUCCCAAAUGGUAACGGAGGCGUACAAAGGUUUCCUCUGAACGGAUAGAAAUCGUAUCUAGAGUGUAAAGGCAUAAGGAAGCUUGACUGUGAGACCUACAAGUCGAGCAGGGACGAAAGUCGGUCUUAGUGAUCUGACGGUACUGAGUGGAAAGGCCGUCACUCAACGGAUAAAAGUUACUCUAAGGAUAACAGGCUGAUCUCCCCCAAGAGUUCACAUCGACGGGGAGGUUUGGCACCUCGAUGUCGGCUCAUCGCAUCCUGGGGCGGUAGUACGUCCCAAGGGUUGGGCUGUUCGCCCAUGAAAGCGGUACGCGAGCUGGGUUCAGAACGUCGUGAGACAGUUCGGUCCAUAUCCGGUGUAGGCGUUAGAAUAUUGAGAGGAGCCUUCUUUAGUACGAGAGGACCGAGAAGGACACACCGCUGGUGUACCAGUUAUCGUGCCAACGGUAAACGCUGGGUAGCUAUGUGUGGAGUGGAUAACCGCUGAAAGCAUCUAAGUGGGAAGCCCACCUCAAGAUGAGUAUUCUCAUC
rnacentral:rRNA from 1 species